rnacentral:rRNA from 1 species
AGCGAACGUUAGCGGCGGGCCUAACACAUGCAAGUCGAGCGAGAAAGUGGCUUCGGCCAGCAGUAAAGCGGCGGACGGGUGAGGAACACGUAGGUAAUCUUCCCUUGAGCGGGGGACAACGAGACGAAAGGCUCGCUAAUACCGCAUACGUUUCUCGAGACCCUGGUCUUGGGAAGGAAAGCUAGGCAGCAAUGUCCGGCCCUCGAGGAGGAGCCUGCGUCGCAUCAGCUAGUUGGGGGGGUAACGGCCUACCAAGGCGAAGACGCGUAGCUGGUCUGAGAGGAUGAUCAGCCACACUGGGACUGAGACACGGCCCAGACUCCUACGGGAGGCAGCAGUGGGGAAUAUUGGACAAUGGGCGCAAGCCUGAUCCAGCCACGCCGCGUGAGUGAUGAAGGCCUUCGGGUCGUAAAGCUCUGUGGGGAGGGACGAACCGCCGGAUGUGCAUAGCAUCCGGCAUGACGGUACCUCCUUAGCAAGCACCGGCUAACUUCGUGCCAGCAGCCGCGGUAACAC